GCUUCCGCCUUCCAAAUACAGCUUUUUAUUUUGCAUUUCUAGAAUUAGCAGCGCCAUCAGCAGGACAGUGAUAUUAAUGGUUAACGGCUGAUCUUACACUCGAGUGAGAGUAGUAAGUUAGACUAGGGAAUCUGUUCAAAGUGCUGUAUCGUAAACAACUGGACUUUUGCUGAGGAAGUAGAAAUACUCAACCGCAAGUAGACCAGACUGCCUUCACAGUAGCACUUGUCAAGUGAACACAGUUUUAAGGACUGAAGUAAGGUUUUGCCCUAAAAGAAUGAGGCUUGGCUGAGCCAGCCUGCUUGGUCUGUGGCCAACCAGAACAUCAGCAGUCCCGUCACCACCACCACACACAUCUUCAGUGUCAGCUUCAGCAUGUCGAGACACUGCAGGAGCAAAGGACAGGACAGAGACGUCACGUUUGCCAAACAAUUAAAGGGACACAUGAACAAGUAAUGAGUAAAGGCAAGUGCGAUUAUGGCUGGAUGAGAUGGCUGCCAAAGUGGAGUCCAGUGGUCAAGAUGGCGUAACAACACGUGCGAGCAUGAAAUCUCUGAAUAAUUUUUUACAAGACACCUCAAGCAGCAACAAAGUCAGGACUUAGAAGCAUCAAGCAGUGUUGUUGUGGAUUGCAACCAACCGAACACCCCUCGCCUCCACCCUUGGCUGUCGAAAAUAUAAGAAGCAUGGAAGACCCUCUUUCGCUGUAGAAACAUGGUGGUGCAACAUGGCCGACCUCGUGAGAGAAGACCUGCUCCUUGCACAUGAAAGGCUCAUUUAUACACAUCAGAGAAACUGACUUCACUAUGGAGAUCUCAGGUCUUCAGCUUGCUCCCUGAAAGGAGGAUACCACAGCCACAACAUGGCAACCUGCGCCACGACGAGGAGGAGAAGGAAGAACAUCCACACCUUCCACCAGGAGCAACAUGGAGUCUGAACAAAGAGGAGAGAGAU